UACGGAGGGGACUAGCGUUGUUCGGAAUUACUGGGCGUAAAGCGCACGUAGGCGGAUUUGUAAGUCAGGGGUGAAAUCCCAGAGCUCAACUCUGGAACUGCCUUUGAUACUGGGUAUCUUGAGUAUGGAAGAGGUAAGUGGAAUUGCGAGUGUAGAGGUGAAAUUCGUAGAUAUCGCAGGAACACCAGUGGCGAAGGCGGCUUACUGGUCCAUAACUGACGCUGAGG
rnacentral:rRNA from 1 species